UGGGGAAUUUUGGACAAUGGGCGAAAGCCUGAUCCAGCAAUGCCGCGUGUGUGAAGAAGGCCUUCGGGUUGUAAAGCACUUUUGUCCGGAAAGAAAUCCUUGGCUCUAAUACAGUCGGGGGAUGACGGUACCGGAAGAAUAAGCACCGGCUAACUACGUGCCAGCAGCCGCGGUAAUACGUAGGGUGCAAGCGUUAAUCGGAAUUACUGGGCGUAAAGCGUGCGCAGGCGGUUUGCUAAGACCGAUGUGAAAUCCCCGGGCUCAACCUGGGAACUGCAUUGGUGACUGGCAGGCUAGAGUAUGGCAGAGGGGGGUAGAAUUCCACGUGUAGCAGUGAAAUGCGUAGAGAUGUGGAGGAAUACCGAUGGCGAAGGCAGCCCCCUGGGCCAAUACUGACGCUCAUGCACGAAAGCGUGGGGAGCAAACAGGAUUAGAUACCCUGGUAGUCCACGCCCUAAACGAUGUCAACUAGUUGUGGGAUUCAUUCCUUAGUAACGUAGCUAACGCGUGAAGUUGACCGCCUGGGGAGUACGGUCGCAAGAUUAAAACUUAAAUGAAUUGACGGGGUCAUAGCUGUUUCCU
rnacentral:rRNA from 1 species